CAGCGCCGCGGGAAUACGUAGGUGGCAAGCGUUGUCCGGAAUUAUUGGGCGUAAAGCGCGCGCAGGUGGUUUAAUAAGUCUGAUGUGAAAGCCCACGGCUCAACCGUGGAGGGUCAUUGGAAACUGUUAAACUUGAGUGCAGGAGAGAAAAGUGGAAUUCCUAGUGUAGCGGUGAAAUGCGUAGAUAUUAGGAGGAACAUCAGCGGCGAAGGCGGCUUUCUGGACUGCAACUGACACUGAGAGACGAAAUCUGGGGGAGCAAAUGGGAUUAGAGACCCGCGUAGUCCCUGUCUCUUAUACA
rnacentral:rRNA from 1 species